rnacentral:lncRNA from 1 species
AUAAGUCAAGGGGUAUGAAAACUUUCUGAAGGCACUGUCUGAAGUUCAAACGAUAACAGAUUAAAUACUGUUUGGAAAAAAGGCAUCACAUCACAUCAAAGCAUAUCAAGUUUUUAAAUAUUUUAAUACAUUUCACAAUUGAUUCAUUGUAUUUACAAAAGACAGUGGUCAUGUGACAUAAAACCAUGUUUUUAAAAUGAACAUGAGAAACAAAUGAAUACCAGAAGCAUAUCAGUAUAUAACACAUAGAAAGAUAAAUAACAUUUCGGGAAGCUUAUGGUUUGUCAUUUUGCCAUUUUUUGUCAUUUUCUCUCUGCAAACAAAAAAACAAUCAUAAUGUGCAGUAUGUACCUUUCUAUUGCCUCUGUUGGCUAGAAGGAAAUCAUUCUAGAAUGGUUGGGAGUUCUUGAACGAGUGGUACUGUAGCUCUAGAACAGUUUGUAACUAUAACUGUUUAUGGCUCUAGAACUGUUGGUAGCUCUAGAACAGUUUGUAGCUGUAGAACCUUUGAUAGCUCUAGAACAAUUUGUAGCUCUAGAACUGUUGGUAGCUCUAGAACAGUUUGUAGCUCUAGAACUGUUACUGGUUCUAGAACUGUUGGGGGUUCUACAUUUUAAGGAAGACCAAGUAAAUGUAUGGCCGGGAUUUUAUCAUGCAAAAUAUGGACAUCAACAACAACAACAUAUGGAAUGUAGUUAUAUCUGUAUAAUGACACACAAAGUCUGCAUUUUUGGCACAAAUGUAAAGGCUGAACAAAAGUACUCUACUUUUCCUCCUGAACAACAAUAAAUAAAUCCUAUUUUUCCACAAGGUAACUGACUGAGACUAAAACUCCUACUUAAAAGGCUGAUUGAUGUUCUUAUGUCUGCAUGAAUGGGUUUUUGACUUUAUUCAGCACUUUAUACAGAACAUCUAGGCAGUAGGCACAAACUCAAAUCAUAAUAUUGCAUUCCUAUCUGUGAGCGGAGUGAAGAGGGAAUACAAUAACUGACUUUUCAAAAGGUUUUAACUCAGCACUUCCCUUAGAUCUUGAAUAUACAGUACCAGUCAAAGGCUUGGACACACCUACACAUUCAAGGGGUUUUCUUCAUUUUUACUAUUUUCUACAUUGUAGGAUAAUAGUGAAGUCAUCAAAUCUAUAAAAUAACACAUAUGGAAUCAUGUAGUAACCAAAAAAGUGUUACAUGAAAAUAUAUUUGAGAUUCUUCAAAGUAGCCACCCUUUGCCUUGAUGACAGCUUGUGGAUGCUAUGUCAUCUGAUGCAGCACCAUCACUCUCCUUCUUGGUCGAAUAGCCCUUACACAGCCUGGAGGUGUGUUGGGUCAUUGUCCUGUUGAAAAAUAAAUGAUAGUCCCACUAAGCGCAAACCAGAUGGGAUGGCUUAUCACUGCAGAAUGCUGUGGUAGCCAUGCUGGUUAAGUGUGCCUUGAAUUCUAAAUAAAUCACUGACAGUGUCACCAGCAAAGCACCCCCACACCUCCUCUAUGCUUCAUGGUGGGAACCACACAUGCGGAGAUCAUCUGUUCACCUACUCUGCGUCUCACAAAGCCACGGCGGUUGGAACCAAAAAUCUCAAAUUUGGACUUCCCAGACCAGAGGACAGAUUUCCACCAGUCUAAUGUCCAUUGCUCAUGUUUCUUGACCCAAGCAAGGCUCUUCUUAUUAUUGCUGUCCUUUAGUAGUGGUUUCUUUGUUGCAGCAAUUUGAACAUGAAGGCCUGAUUCAGUCUCCUCUGAACAGUUGAUGUUGAGAUGUGUCUGUUGCUUGAACUCUUUGAAACAUUUAUUUGGGCUACAAUCUGAGGUGCAGUUAACUUUAACAAACAUAUUCUCUGCAGCAGCGGUAACUCUGGGUCUUCCUUUCCUGUGGCGGUUCACCUGAGAGACAGUUUCAUCAUAGUGCUUAGUGUUUUUGCGACUGCACUUGAAGAAACAUUCACAUUUCUUGAAAUGUUUCACAUUGACUGACAUUCAUGUCUUAAAGUAACGAUGAACUGUCAUUUCUCUUUGCUUAUUUAAGCUGUUUUUGCCAUAAUAUGGACUUGGUCUUUUACCAAAUAGGGCUGUCUUCUGUAUACUCCCCUACCUUGUCACAACACAACUGAUUGGUUCAAACGCAUUAAGGAAAGAAAUUCCACAAAUGAUCUUUUAACAAGACACACCUGUUAAUUGAAAUGCAUUCCAGGUGACUACGUCAUGAAGCUGGUUGAGAGAAUGCCAAGCGUGUGCAAGCUGUCAUCAAGGCAAGAGGUGGCUAUUUUGAAGAAUAUCAAAUAUUAAAAUCUAUUCUGAUUAGUUUAACACUUUUCAUUUCAUAGUUUUGAUGUCUUCCAUAUUAUUCUACUUUAUCAAUGAUUUAAUUCCACUAGCAAACUAAAAUAACACCCAGAAUGAUAAGAUCACGUAAAAUAAGUAACCAAAUAAAAACAUCACAUUAAGAACAACGGAUAGUUAGAAUCCACUUCUUCGUUCUUCUAUUCCUGGACACAGUGUAGUAGGUUGAUAAGGCCUUGUACUUCGUUUAAAGGAUAGCUGACUGUACUUUACACAUUAUCUCAAUGCUAAAUGUUCAAGUACAACUUCAGUACAGUUCAUUGUUUAACCAGUGUUUCAGUUUAGCGUAAACAUGUUAUUAUUAUGUAAUAACAUGACGUGAACCAAACCCUACUCUUCUCCGUCUGGCCCUUUAUCGUGUCACAUUGCUAAACCUAACAUUUAUUAUCUAGUUAUUCAUUUCAGUGCUUUAUUUCAGAGAUAAAUGCAAACCCCGAACAACAGAAAUGUCCGUCGAUCAGAAGAGUGUUUUAUUGUAUCUGAUAUCCUCCUGAUUCAACAGAGUCAGUUUCCUGCUCUUGUCCACCCCACAUCUGUUCUCUGCUCUAAAUCAUUCAAUAUUCUAAACCAAAACCAGACUUUCUGUCUGGUUAACCCCUCUUGCCUUGUCUCCUAAUGAUCUGUCCUUCCAGCUGUCUGGUUAACCCCUCUUGCCUUGUCUCCUAAUGAUCUGUCCUUCCAGCUGUCUGGUUAACCCCUCUUGCCUUGUCUCCUAAUGAUCUGUCCUUCCAGCUGUCUGGUUAACCCCUCUUGCCUUGUCUCCUAAUGAUCUGUCCUUCCAGCUAUCUGGUUAACCUCUCUUGCCUUGUCUCCUAAUGAUCUGUCCUUCCAGCUGUCUGGUUAACCCCUCUUGCCUUGUCUCCUAAUGAUCUGUCCUUCCAGCUGUCUGGUUAACUCCUCUUGCCUUGUCUCCUAAUGAUCUGUCCUUCCAGCUGUCUGGUUAACCCCUCUUGCCUUGUCUCCUAAUGAUCUGUCCUUCCAGCUGUCUGGUUAACCCCUCUUGCCUUGUCUCCUAAUGAUCUGUCCUUCCAGCUGUCUGGUUAACCCCUCUUGCCUUGUCUCCUAAUGAUCUGUCCUUCCAGCUGUCUGGUUAACCCCUCUUGCCUUGUCUCCUAAUGAUCUGUCCUUCCAGCUGUCUGGUUAACCCCUCUUGCCUUGUCUCCUAAUGAUCUGUCCUUCCAGCUGUCUGGUUAACCCCUCUUGCCUUGUCUCCUAAUGAUCUGUCCUUUCAGCUAUCUGGUUAACCCCUCUUGCCUUGUCUCCUAAUGAUCUGUCCUUUCAGCUAUCUGGUUAACCCCUCUUGCCCUGUCUCCUAAUGAUCUGUCAUUUCAGCUAUCUGGUUAACCCCUCUUGCCCUGUCUCCUAAUGAUCUGUCCUUUCAGCUAUCUGGUUAAUCCCUCUUGCCCUGUCUCCCAAUAAUCUGUCAUUUCUCCCAUCUGGUUAACCCUUCUUGCUGUGUGUCCCAAUAAUAUGUCAAUUUUAAGAAAUAUAGCAGUCUAACACAUGCUCAGACCAAUCCAAUGCUUUUAACUGCAGGAGAAAGGCCAGAUUAUUGAGACGCAGGGAUGCUGUCUGCUCCCUCCAGACUCUUUAAUGAUUACACAGCAACUGACCCCUAAACAAGCAGGUCUGGAGCCCAUUAGGGCCUAGCCUACUGACUAUUAGUUAACCACACAUUUUGAAUAUGUGACCCAAAUUGCGCCCCAUUGGCUAUAUAGUGCACUAUUUUUGACCCACUGGGCUGAUGGCUCUGGUCAAAAGUAGUGCACUAUGUCGGGAAUAGGGUGCCAUUUGAGAGUCACGACUGCAUUCCAUCUACCGCUACAGUUCCCAAACUCCUAUCUAUCAAGUCACAUGAACAUGUUCCAGUCCUCGUUUCUUUUAAGCCAUCAAAGCUAGUCUUAUCUGUGCACAACCUUUCUGUGUCGGCCUCCUGUCGUCACCUAUGUACAGGUGUAUAGGUGAAUAUGUUGUAACGAAAGAUCACAAUAUAAUAUUCAUUUCAAACUAAUGUCCUGAGUUCCUGUCCCUCCCUUUGCUUCAUGUGGUCAAUAAAUACGGUCACUACUGAGUGACUAGUUUAGUGGAUGAGGGACGAGACACCAUGUAGAGUUUUAAAUGCACUUUAAAAUACAUUUAGUAGCUUCUCUCACUUUGUUUUGUUUCUAUAAAAUAUUAACUAUGAGAAGAAUUCAUCAGAUUCUAACAACGGGACAUUUCCCUGAUUAAAAUAAACAACAGCCCCCAUAGGCUCCCUACGACCAAACAACCCUCAUAUUUUUGCAAAAGGGUGUCUCGCAGCAGAGUGAGCACAUAGUAGCAGCAUUAUGCGACUCAAUGGUUACGUCCCACAAAUGGCACCCUAUUCCUUAUAUAGUGCACUACUUUUCACCAGAGCCCUAUGGGCCAUUUGGGACAUAAUCAAUGUGAAUUCUGAGGCAUGACAACAUGCAUGACUACAAAUCCCAGCAGUCAUCGUAACCCAGUGUUUCUCAACCUUUUGUGUACCAGGGACCGGCAAUGACCAGCUAUAAUCCUUCCUCCUUUGAAGACCACUUAGUUUUAAUCUAACACUUGGAAACUAACUAAAUCAGUGUCCACUCACUAUCUGAGGGACCAAUCAGCAACACCCCAAGGACCAGUGCUGGCCCGGGGACCGCAGGUUGAGAAGCACUGAUAAACCCACAAAGAGUUGGGAUAACAUGGUACCUACCAACCUACAGUACACCCAGUCAGACUCAGGACAGUGCAACUUCCUGCAAAACCCCUAAUGAAAGCACACUAGCAAAUGAUCUGUAAUCAUACAAAGGCAAUGAUGGCCGGGGAACAUGUCAUGGUGAAAAUAGGUUGUUUUCAGGUUAUGGUCAGUGCUGUGUUCCCAAGGUCUUAUAUAAUAUGUACAGUUUAUGCAGAUAGAGGUAGCAUCCCAAAUGGAACACUAUUCCCUAUGUAGUGCACAAAAUGGCACCCUAUUCCCUAUAUAGUGCACCUGCCAUUUAUGAUGCACACAGGGUGAUCUGUUAUUAACAAGACAGAUUGAGAGAAAGCACAGGAAGCCAUUCCUUAGACAUUUGACCCUUGCAGUCAUGACGGGGGGAAUCAGUCAUUACAUAAUAAUUACAGCUUCAAGUUUUUAUACAGAAUGAUAUAUACACUUGCCAACAGACAUUCCACAGCAAGGUGUAUCAAACAUGUUGAAUAUGAGUUCACACAGUGAAAUCCUGUUUGAUAACAGCAUGCAUUACUCUACGUGCUAAUUCCUGAUAGAAGGGUUUGGUCGGUGUGGCAGAUUCUCAUUCUGAUUCUUCUUCUCCAGUCUGACAUCCUGUCUAGAUCAAUGGAGUGGUGUUUGGGGAGG